UGGGGAAUAUUGGACAAUGGGCGAAAGCCUGAUCCAGCCAUGCCGCGUGUGUGAAGAAGGUCUUCGGAUUGUAAAGCACUUUAAGUUGGGAGGAAGGGCAGUAAGCGAAUACCUUGCUGUUUUGACGUUACCGACAGAAUAAGCACCGGCUAACUCUGUGCCAGCAGCCGCGGUAAUACAGAGGGUGCAAGCGUUAAUCGGAAUUACUGGGCGUAAAGCGCGCGUAGGUGGUUCGUUAAGUUGAAUGUGAAAGCCCCGGGCUCAACCUGGGAACUGCAUCCAAAGCUGGCGAGCUAGAGUAGGGCAAAGGGGGGUGGAAUUUCCUGUGUAGCGGUGAAAAGCGUAGAUAUAGGAAGGAACACCAGUGGCGAAGGCGACCACCUGGGCUCAUACUGACACUGAGGUGCGAAAGCGUGGGGAGCAAACAGG
rnacentral:rRNA from 1 species